ensembl:lncRNA
GAGGGUAGAGGAAGGACAUCAGUAAUAGAUGGGAGAGGUUGAGGGUAGAGGAAGGACAUCAGAAAUAGAUGGGAGAGAUUGAGGGUAGAGGAAGGACAUCAGUAAUAGAUGGGAGAGGGUAGAGGAAGGACAUCCAUAAUAGAUGAGAGAGGUUGAGGGUAGAGGAAGGACAUCAGUAAUAGAUGAGAGAGGUUGAGGGUAGAGGAAGGAGAUCAGAAAUAGAUGGGAGAGGUUGAGGGUAGAGGAAGGACAUCAGUAAUAGAUGGGAGAGGUUGAGGGUAGAGGAAGGACAUCAGAAAUAGAUGGGAGAGAUUGAGGGUAGAGGAAGGACAUCAGUAAUAUAUGGGAGAGGGUAG